rnacentral:misc_RNA from 1 species
GUAGGUGAACCUGCGGAAGGAUCAUUAACACUUUUUCCAAAAAACAACACAUAUCCAAUUUCCUUUGGAUAUUACACCCCAUUAAGCGAACAUUUGUUAGGAAGUGCAUCAUAGCGAAACAAAAAAGGGGAGGAGGAAGCGGCACACUCUGUCGGUUUCUUUUUCUUCUUUUUUUUUUGGCUCCCUGACCACUUCCGCUUUUUUUCUUCUUCUCUACAAAAACAAAAACCCAAUUGAAUUUCUAAAACUG